UCCUCCUAACUGUUUUGUACAAACAAAGCUUUUGUGUUUCUCCACGAUGGCAGAGGAUAUAUUAUUCAGCUUAUGAGAAAGAAAUCGUCUCUUCCUAAUGACCAAGCUUCAUUGUGACAAAUAUUUGACUGCACUUAGAAAUCCUAAUCUUAAGUAUGCCUUAUAAGGACAAUGAACUAUCAAAUUCUAACUUAGUAUGUCAUUUCUCAUCAAAACUCGUGUAUCUACUUCCAUUCAAUAGCUUUACGAUGUUAAUAUUAAUUUACUUUUUAAGGUUUUUAAGUGACAUUUCCAAUCUGAAUGAGAACACUUUUGACACCUAUCAAAUUAAUUUUCUUUAUAAAAAGUAUUUUCAUCCUGCUAAAGAGUUUCUUGAUUUACCUUAUUUCUUGACAAUGAAGUAUUAAAUGUGACACGAGAGAAACCUAAUGAAAGGUAGUCCACCUACAACAGGUGAUCAGGCAAAUGAUUGAAAAUGCACUGUAUUAGCUCAAGUUUGUGUAUUAGCUCAAGUUUGUGUAUUAGCUCAAGUUUGUGUAUUAGCUCAAGUUUGGCUUCUUUGGGAAACAGAAAAUAGUAUUGAGCAAAGUCUGCAUUGGUUUCCAAGUUAUAUCCAGUAGUAACAGAUCAUUUCCCUGGCUAUGUCCGCUAACAUGACUUUUUGUAGAGAGUGAUAGACAAUGCUUGAUGGAUCUCUCCUACAGCCAGGUAGAAGUUCCUCAACAAUACUACUUACUCUAUGUCAUCACAACACAUGCAUGUGUGCACUUAAGUGUUUAUAUAUCUGUGUGUUUUUUAAUCUUAUCUUAUUUUUAUCUUUUAUUUCAUUUCAUUUCUGCAUGUAUAUUUUUGUCCAAUAUCGUGUAAGGAGUACAGGAAAUUUAACGAAGACAGCUAUAGGAGUAGAUGCAAUAGUCAGCGACCCGUUUACAGAUCAUACCAAUGUCCUAGAUUUUGGAUCAGACCAAUCUCAUGCACUGGAUCCAAGACUGUAUCACAUGUAUGGGCAGCGUCAGAUAAAGUUAAUGCUACAGGAAUCCUGCAUAUUUGACACAGGACGUUCGAAUCAAUCAAAUUGUGAUUAAAAUCAAUCAAAUUUAAGGAAUUGUUUCCCCACUUUUGACUUUAUUUGUGUGGGGUAUAUCACUGUGGUGUGUACGAGACAUUGUCACAUUCAGGAAAUACACAAAACUCCCAGAGGUAAAAGUGUUUGCUAAGGUAUGGGCCAACUAUAGGUAACAGUUUUGUAAUGGAGCCGACUUAAACAGAAGAAAUUCAAUGUCCAAGCCACAAAAACCUGGUAUGUACAUUGUCACUAACAGCAGUGAUGCUCCAGUCAAUAACGUUAUGGGAUACCUGCAUUAACAGAAGAAAAUUUCAUGUCCAAGCAAUUUCCCUACAGCAGGAGACUACAAAGUGUUCACAUCAAUACUGAAAACUUGUAAAAUGUGUUGUCACUACAUGUCUGAUUCAUAUAUCUUGCUUGAUAAAUGAGUAUGUAACUUACAGCAUUGAU